GAUCUUCAGAGACUACUGGAAACACUGGAGCAGAGAAUGGAGGUUUCAGGACAAAUAGCCAAUACUUUGACGGGAGGGCCCAGGACCCAGUUUCAGGUAGAACCUACCUUUUCAACAGCAACACAGGGGAGCGUCGCUGGGUAUAGACACGUGAAAACAUUGGCGUAGAACAAAAACUGGAGUUACAGUGAAACUGUUAACUUAAAUCACACUGAGGAUUUGAAACUACUGAUUCUACAUCCAAUAAUACUAUGUAUAAUGCAGAGAAACACAAUAUGUAUGUUUAGUGUGCUACAGUUAUUUCAGUACAACAGUUUACUGCUGCUUAAUGGUAUGACAUAUAUUAAUUAUGCAGAAAAUGCAGUUGUUUAUAACAAAAACAAAACACUGGUUUGCUUUUUGAAGAAGCCACUUAAUGUUGUAACCACUUGUUCAAGGGGAAAGACAAAAAAUGCUGUUGAUAUUUGAGUCACCAGCUGAACCUAACCUAAACAGCUAACCUGAAUAUUACUCACUGGUACUAAGGACAUUGGCCUAAACAGCUAACCUGAAUAUUACUCAGUGGUACUAAGGACAUUGGAUGCUGUGUGAUGUAUUUUGUUCUAUACCUGUAAACUUUGAAAUGCUUAAAUAUGUGGCUUUAUUUUAUUCUCCAUCUAUCUAAUGGAUGCAGUACCUUACUACAUGAUCCCUUAAUAUAUUACUUGUACUCUAGACUGCAAUAAAUAAAUGCCAAUGUGUAUCUUGGCAUGGUAAUAUUGCAUUGUAAUAAAACACUUUUACUAAACUGCA